GAUGAUGUUGUGAUGAAAACUGCUAUUGGCGUCCUGGGCGAUUUAGCAGAUACUCUGGGUAGCAAUGCAGGUUCAGAGUGCUGCGGAAUUGUCUGCUCACACAUCAGGUGCUGAUGAUGAAAUGAUAGAAUAUACUAAUCUUCUUAGGAAUGGAAUUUUGGAGGCAUAUUCUGGAAUAUUCCAGGGCUUCAAGAACUCUCCUAAGACCCAGCUUCUGAUCCCGUAUGCUCCACAUAUCCUUCAAUUCCUAGACAGCAUUUACAUGGAGAAAGAUAUGUAAGUACACCCUCUAUUUAUUUAUUUAUUUUUUUUUAUCACAGUAUGCUUCUUCGUUGUUCUAUCAUUCAUUUUUUCAUCACCCUUAUGUUCUAUCUAUAUUGUCACAGGGAUGAUGUUGUGAUGAAAACUGCUAUUGGCGUCCUGGGCGAUUUAGCAGAUACUCUGGGUAGCAAUGCAGGUUCUUUGAUUCAGCAAUCUCUGUCAAGCAAAGACUUUUUAAAUGAAUGCUUGUCUUCAGAUGACCAUUUGAUCAAGGAAUCUGCUGAGUGGGCGAGGUUGGCCAUUAGCCGUGCCAUUUCUGUUUGAGGUUGUGUCCAUGGGGUACAUUUUAUCUAACCUGCAUGCAUAUGGUUGUGUCGAGUCGGGUCCAGAAUUGCAUUCAAUGUAUCGGGUCAUUAAUUUUCUCUGACUACAGAAGCAUUUUAUCUUCAUAUGUCACUAACUCAUGCAUCAGCAUCAUGGGAUCGGGAUCACGGUGGCUUCUCUGAACUCUCUGAAGGGCUUGAGAAGUAAAAUCUCGGGUUAAUUUAUUUUCCAUGGGAAGGAGUCAGAGGCGGUGGCUUCUCAGGAAUUUGAAGAACUUGAGAAAUAGAACGCAACAGAAAAAUCAGUCUGCACUGUGCUUUAUGCUUCCAUGGUGGUCUCUCGCAGUGGUUGGAACAAGUCGUGCCAUUUCUGUUUGAGGUUGUGUCCAUGGGGUACAUUUUAUCUAACCUGCAUGCAUAUGGUUGUGUCGAGUCGGGUCCAGAAUUGCAUUCAAUGUAUCGGGCCAUUAAUUUUCUCUGACUACAGAAGCAUUUUAUCUUCAUAUGUCACUAACUCAUGCAUCAGCAUCAUGGGAUCGGGAUCAGAAUCACGGUGGCUUCUCUGAACUCUCUGAAGGGCUUGAGAAGUAAAAUCUCGGGUUAAUUUAUUUUCCAUGGGAAGGAGUCAGAGGCGGUGGCUUCUCAGGAAUUUGAAGAACUUGAGAAAUAGAACGCAACAGAAAAAUCAGUCUGCACUGUGCUUUAUGCUUCCAUGGUGGUCUCUCGCAGUGGUUGGAACAAGAUAAGCCCCAAGAGUUUUGGUUGACAAGAUACUUUAAGCCAGCCAACCUACCAACCAUCGUUUUUCUUCCCUGAUUUUUGUUUUUCUUUCUCAUGGUACAUCAUUUUUUAAAAUAUGUUUUUAGGUCAGUCUUUCUCUUGCAUUGGGUCAUACCACUAGUGGGAGUGGGAUUGCUUUCAAUCUCAUUCAUUUCAUUUAACAUGUUUUAUUUGGGGGGUUGGGGUCUGGGUUAGCAGGCCGGGUGGUGGGCGGUCGGGUUAGGCAUUUCAUUCACAUCAUUUUUCCUUCAAAAAUUUUCAGUUAGGCAUUUCACAGGUCAAGAGUCAAAUACAUGCAUUCAUGAAAACAUACAUGCCUCUCUUUUCUCUUAUGUAGAAGUAUAGUUUUUGUUUUUUUUCCCCUUCAAUCUUGCAUUUUUAAAUAUGUAUUCUCUUUUGGUUUUUCAACUUUGGGAUCAAGAAAUUACGAUGUCAUGAACUGCGGUGACAUUGGAAGGAUUGAGAAUGGUAUUUUGAAGAAUCAAUUCUUUGGGUUGGGGUCUGGGUUAGCAGGCCGGGUGGUGGGUGGUCGGGUUAGGCAUUUCAUUCACAUCAUUUUUCCUUCAAAAAUUUUCAGUUAGGCAUUUCACAGGUCAAGAGUCAAAUACAUGCAUUCAUGAAAACAUACAUGCCUCUCUUUUCUCUUAUGUAGAAGUAUAGUUUUUGUUUUUUUUCCCCUUCAAUCUUGCAUUUUUAAAUAUGUAUUCUCUUUUGGUUUUUGAACUUUGGGAUCAAGAAAUUACGAUGUCAUGAACUGCGGUGACAUUGGAAGGAUUGAGAAUGGUAUUUUGAAGAAUCAAUUCUUGUCCAAAUGUAGUGUAUUUGUGUAGUUAUGCCUCAUAUUUUUCAGCUUUCAAUGGGUUGAACUAUAUUUUCAAUGGAUGUAUGUGAUACAGUUUAUUUUGUAUUUUCAAGGGAAAAAAUGUUUGUCUGUUCUACAUAUGCUGCAUGAUGAAUUUAUCGUGAA
rnacentral:lncRNA from 1 species